CACUAUGCCUAGCCUUAAACAUUGAUAGCCUAUUACUUAAGCCAUCCGCCAGGGAACUACGAGCAUUAGCUUAAAACCCAAAGGACUUGGCGGUGCUUUAGAUCCACCUAGAGGAGCCUGUUCUAGAACCGAUAACCCCCGUUCAACCUCACCUUUCCUUGUUUUUUCCGCCUAUAUACCACCGUCGUCAGCUUAUCCUGUGAAGGUUUCUUAAUAAGCAAAAUUGGCAAAGCCCAAAACGUCAGGUCGAGGUGUAGUGUAUGGAAAGGGAAGAAAUGGGCUACAUUUCCUACCCCAGGAAAUUACGAAUGAUAUAUUGAAAUAUAUACCUGAAGGAGGAUUUAGUAGUAAGAGAAAAAUAGAGAGCUUCUCUGAAACUGGCCCUGAAGCGCGCACACACCGCCCGUCACUCUCCCCAAGCUACCUCAAAUAAAUAACUAAUACACCAAUCCCGCUGAGGGGAGGCAAGUCGUAA
rnacentral:rRNA from 1 species